rnacentral:lncRNA from 1 species
AAAUACAUGCAAAGUAAAAUUGUUGGCGACAUAGCUCAGCAAGAAUGAAGACAUUGAUACACUUUUGCAUUAUGGAAUACACAAGUUGGCAGUUCCUCACCCAUUGCCACCCAAAUACAGAUAGUAAAGUUAAACACUUAAUAAAGUACUUGCUGCAAUUACUUUCAAAAGACUAAAACUGGACAUAUUGUUUUAGAAAAAGCUGUAUAAAAAAUCCUUAUCUGUACGUAACAGACGAUGGAGACGAAGUGAUUAUUAUGUGUGGCAAAAGAUUAUUUUAUGAA